rnacentral:lncRNA from 1 species
UUCAUUCUUACAAACCCUACGUAACAAGUUUUAAUAGAAAUGAUGAAAUACGUAUACCUAUCAAUCAACAGGACCUGUACAUAUUACCAUCAGCUAGCACUUUAUAUUUGGAAGGAACCGUUAUAGUUAGCAAGAAGGAUACGAAAGACAAAGCUACUAGUGUCCAUUUCACCAACAAUGCUCUACUUUACUUAUUUCAAGAUAUUAGGUAUGAGCUAAAUGGAGUAGAGAUAGAUAAAAUAAAAAAUGCUGGUAUAACUACAACCAUAAAAUCGUUAAUAUCAAUGAAUGAGGGCGAAUCAAAGAUGUCUAACGCCUGGGGUUGGAAUAUCGAUGGAAUAAAAAAUAAUCAUGGAGGAAGUUUUUCUGCUUCUAUCCCACUUCGCAAUAUCCUCGGUUUCGCUGAAGAUUUUAAAAAAGUCAUCAUAAAUAGUAGACACGAACUGGUACUGUUACGAAGUAACACUAAUUUGAACGCUGUAAAACUUAGCACCGGCGAAGUAGUGGAUGACGUUCACAUCAACAAAAUCAUAUGGCGCGUACCACAUGUUAAAGUAUCAGAUAAAGAAAAAAUUUCUUUGCUAAAACUGUUAGAAAAAGAUCGUCCGCUUCAGAUGAUUUACAGAAAUUGGGAUCUCUACGAAUAUCCAGCUUUACCUAAAACUACAAAGCAUACGUGGUCUAUCAAAACUGCAUCUCAAAUUGAAAAACCAAGAUACGUCAUUAUAGGCUUACAGACAAAUAGGAAAAAUAGUGCAAGUUCUGACAUGUCUCAAUUCGAUCACUGCAAUGUUCGUGACGUAAAAGUGUACCUAAAUUCAACUUAUUUUCCAUAUGAAAGUCUUAAUGUGAACUUCGCUAAUAACAGAAUUGCAUUAUUAUAUGAGCAAUACGUCAGAUUUCAACAGUCGUAUUACGGACGCCGUCCAGAACCCUUGUUAAGUGAGAAACAGUUUAAAGAUUUAGCACCGCUGUUUGUAGUCGAUUGCUCUAGACAAGCAGAUAAUCUAAAGGCGGGUCCUGUCGUAGAUGUAAGAGUAGAAAUUGAGAGUGAUUCGGAACUACCAGAUCAAACUGCAGCUUAUUGUCUCAUUCUGAAUGACUGCAUUGUUGAAUACAAGCCAUUAAGUAACAUCGUAAAGAAGAUAUCAUGAACGCAGAUACCAUCAUAGUUGAUCUCCAAGGAUUUAAAGAUAAUCAAAAUAAUUUUAUCGUGAAGGAAGUGGCCAUUGUAAGUCAGGAACUUACCCAAACAUUCUUAGUAAAACCACCAUAUCCGUUUCAUUAUUUGUCUAAAGAAGAAAAGAAGCAAGUGAGAUGGAUAGAAAGAAAUCGAGGAAUUUACUGGAGUGAGGGCUACAUCGAUUAUAAAGAAUUUCAACGCAUCGUAGUAUUAUAUCUCGAGAAUAAGAAAAUAAUGACCAAGGGUUUGGAAAAAAUACAGUGGAUUCAAGAAUUAUGCACGAACUGUAAAGUGAUUGAUCUUGGUGAAAAGGGAUGUCCUAAUCUUUCAACAUUAAAAAGAAUGUUUUUAAAAAAUAAAAGAGACUUUAACUGUGUGCAUCAUAGAAUUAACUGUGCAUUAAAUAAUGCUGUGUGUAUAAGAAAAUGGUAUUUUGAUAAUAACAUGUCUGUGUUUAAUUUAUUCAGCAAAAAGUUUGGAAAUGAUGAAGUGGAUUGUUAAUAAUGUGUCAUAAAAUACCAUUAUACAUACUUAUAUUAUGAAAAACAUUCGUUUCAUGUUCAUUCCUGUCUAUUGCACUUACACGUGUCUGGUGCUAAAUAUGACACCACACAGGUGCACUCGUAUAAAGAAUACAGGUUUAAACUUGUUAAAACAUGACAUUGAUUCAAAGCAUACGAGUCUUUAUUGAGUACUGUUACAUUAAACUAUUUCACUUCCUUCGUCAUUGCGCUGUCCGUUGUCGAAGUGGUAACAUCUCAUCAAAAAAUAAAACAUUAUCAUCAAUAAUGUGUGAUUCUCCUGACAUUCGUUUCUCACAAUACGCUCAAGGUUUUCCUACUCCAAGUUUGAGCUGGCAUACACCAGAGCCACAACCUCGUGCGAGUAAGAAGCCUAGAGUGAGACGUCAAAAGCAAAAGCAGACUCCAGUGUACCAAUCGUUCGUCAUCAACAAUGAGAAGAAAAAAGGAGUACGGCUCAUUCAAGUACAAGUGUUGGACAUUAAUGAACAACAAAAACCUGCAACCCCUGACGGAGAAGUGCUAGUGAUGAGUGCGCAAUACGUUGUGACUGAGCCUGUGGACUAUAUAAUGGACGAGACACAGGCAUUAAUAAAUAAAAUAUCCAAAAAACUUUGUGAAGACUAUAGUUAUAAGUUAUAAGUUAAGUAUGAUUAUUUGUAGAUAUGUAUGUAAAUAUGUUGCAUGUGAAUAAUAUAGGUAGAUUUUAGUUAUUAACUUUAGGAUAUUUAUAUUAUUUUGUCUACACACAUCACAUGUUUAAUUGUAAUCUUUAUAUAUAUGUAAGGAAACUUUGUGAAAACUAUAGUUAUAAUUAAGUAUGAUUAUUUGUAUGUAUGUAAAUAUGUUGCAUGUGAAUAAUAUAGGUAGAUUUUAGUUAUUAACAUUAGGAUAUUUCUAUUAUUUUGUCUACACAUCACAUGUUUAAUUGUAAUCAUUAUAUUAAAUAUAUAAGGAAAUCACAUUUUAAUCUAAGUUUAUAAAAAUAAUUGUACCUAGCCAUAAUUAGCUGUGUAGUAGUAUUGUAGUUGAUUCUGGUAAUAUUAUAUUUGCGCAGUUAUAAAGUUAAUUUUAUAGUAAUGUUGUAAAAAUAUAUAAUGUUUAAACUUUAUCUAGAAUAGUUUGUAGUUUAUCAAUGUACAUAUAAUAUUAUAAGUUACUGUUAUAUAUUUAAAUAAACAGGAUAAAUUUUAAAUUUA